GGAAUAUUGGACAAUGGGGGCAACCCUGAUCCAGCCAUGCCGCGUGUGCGAAGAAGGCCUUCGGGUUGUAAACCGCUUUUGUCAGGGAAGAAAAGCUCCGGGCUAAUACCUCGGAGUCAUGACGGUACCUGACGACUACGCACCGGCUAACUACGUGCCAGCAGCCGCGGUAAUACGUAGGGUGCAAGCGUUAAUCGGAAUUACUGGGCGUAAAGCGUGCGCAGGCGGUCAUGCAAGACAGAUGUGAAAUCCCCGGGCUCAACCUGGGAACUGCAUUUGUGACUGCAUGGCUAGAGUGCGGCAGAGGGGGAUGGAAUUCCGCGUGUAGCAGUGAAAUGCGUAGAUAUGCGGAGGAACACCGAUGGCGAAGGCAAUCCCCUGGGCCUGCACUGACGCUCAUGCACGAAAGCGUGGGGAGCAAA
rnacentral:rRNA from 1 species